GUUGGUUUCACCCGAAGGCAGUGCUCUAACCCGCAAGGAGGCAGCCGGCCACGGUAAGGUCAGCGACUGGGGUGAAGUCGUAACAAGGUAGCCGUAGGUGAACCUGCAGAAGGAUCA
rnacentral:rRNA from 1 species